ACCCUGCGGCAGGUUGACGUUGUCCGACAACGAGCGUGUGAGCUCCAUGAGCAGGGCGUCCAUGGACCGGAAGCGGUCUGCGGAGACGGCGUAAACCAGACCUUUAAAGUACUUGUCCCCAUUGCGAUAGAAGCGAACUUUCCUGGCCUUCCUCUCGGACGUGAGAGACUGCAGGGUGCGUGUGCGGUAGAAACUGCAGUGAGCACUGUGCGCCGGACUGGGCGUCAGUCCGUGGACUCUGGAGCCAGCGUGGGAUCCCGAUGAGCCGCUCCUGGGUGUCCGCCAGUGUGCUCCAGCGGCUCUCAUCAAUGGAUGGGGAGGGAAGCCCUCAGCCUCAGGGUCCUAACGGCCACCAAAUUACACGCCCCUCUAACCGGAAGUAAACAAUGGGCUGCCCUUUGACGCCCCCAAGGUUCUUCCCAUUCGAAGCGAGCCAGCUGUGUCGGAUGUGCCAAGUGAGGGAGGAAAUUAGUGCACAGAAAGGAAAUUGGAGCACUUUUCCUGCAGGCAGACAGGAUAUCCUGCAGGCAGAACAAGACAAGAGUCUCCUGUAUAAACAACAACCAGAUAGAAAAAGUCUUAAAUCUGGCCUCCAUGUUUCCUCAAAGCUGCUAAUAUAAUGCUACUAAUGAGGGAUAAAGGGAAUUGUUUUAAGGCAUUUGUAUUAAAGUAUCGUCUCUUAGGGAAACAUAAUUCAUGUGAUCCGUUGCAACCCCGCAGUAGCGGUAUUAACGUCCUUUCUCUGCUCAUAUCAUGUCAUUAAAGCUAUGAUUUUGGCUUCAAAGUUCAAGAGGAUUGCACAACUGAAUUAUUAUGGCCACAUUUCUGUCUUGAGCCAAAGACAAUGACUGGAAAGAAAAGUAUAUAGCGUCCUCUAGUGGCCAUAUUAGAAUGAACAGUAUACCUAAAGAAAAUGCUUGCAGGCUUCUGUGGUUUUGAGAUUGGUGAUGGAAAUGUCGGUUCUUUUGAGAGAGCCGGUUGUUUGGCUCGGCUCACUAAAAAGAGCCGA